rnacentral:rRNA from 1 species
AGUGAACGCUGGCGGUAGGCCUAACACAUGCAAGUCGAACGAGUGGCGGACGGGUGAGGAAUACAUCGGAAUCUACUCUGUCGUGGGGGAUAACGUAUGGAAACUUACGCUAAUACCGCAUACGAUUGAAUGAGCCGACGUCGGAUUAGCUAGUUGGCGGGGUAAAGGCCCACAAAGGCGACGAUCCCUAGCUGGUCUGAGAGGAUGAUGGGCCACACUGGACCGGAACAACGGUCCAGACUCUUACGGGAGGCAGCAGUGGGGAAUAUUGGAAAAUGGGCGAAAGCCUGCUGCAGCCAGACCGCGUGGGUGAAGAAGGCCUUCGGGUUGUAAAGCCCUUUUGUUGGGACGGCGGUACCCAAAGAAUAAGCACCGGCUAACUUCGUGCCAGCAGCCGCGGUAAUUC